ACGCAUAUAUGCUGGAAUGCUUUAUGCGUAAAAUGGAUUCGUCUGCCCAAGGAUGGGUCUGCGGCCUAUCAGGUAGUAGUGGGUGUAAUGUACCUACUAGCCUACAACGGGUACGGGUUGUGAGAGCAAGAGCCCGGAGAUGGAUUCUGAGACAUGAAUCCAGGCCCUACGGGGCGCAGCAGGCGCGGAAACUUUACAAUGCGGGAAACCGUGAUAAGGGGACACCGAGUGCCAGCAUCAUAUGCUGGCUGUCCAGAUGUGUAAAAUACAUCUGUUAGCAAGGGCCGGGCAAGACCGGUGCCAGCCGCCGCGGUAACACCGGCGGCCCGAGUGGUGAUCGUGAUUAUUGGGUCUAAAGGGUCCGUAGCCGGUUUGGUCAGUCCUCCGGGAAAUCUGAUGGCUCAACCAUUAGGCUUUCGGGGGAUACUGCCAGGCUUGGAACCGGGAGAGGUAAGAGGUACUACAGGGGUAGGAGUGAAAUCUUGUAAUCCCUGUGAGACCACCUGUGGCGAAGGCGUCUUACCAGAACGGGUUCGACGGUGAGGGACGAAAGCUGGGGGCACGAACCGGAUUAGAUACCCGGGUAGUCCCAGCCGUAAACGAUGCUCGCUAGGUGUCAGGCAUGGCGCGACCGUGUCUGGUGCCGCAGGGAAGCCGUGAAGCGAGCCACCUGGGAAGUACGGC
rnacentral:rRNA from 1 species